AGCGGCGGACGGGUGAGUAACGCGUGGGUAACCUGCCUCAUACAGGGGGAUAACAGUUGGAAACGGCUGCUAAUACCGCAUGAGCGCACAGUACCGCAUGGUACGGUGUGAAAAACUCCGGUGGUAUGAGAUGGACCCGCGUCUGAUUAGGUAGUUGGUGGGGUAACGGCCUACCAAGCCGACGAUCAGUAGCCGACCUGAGAGGGUGACCGGCCACAUUGGGACUGAGACACGGCCCAA
rnacentral:rRNA from 1 species